rnacentral:rRNA from 1 species
AACGAACGCUGGCGGCAGGCUUAACACAUGCAAGUCGAACGCAUCCUUCGGGGUGAGUGGCAGACGGGUGAGUAACGCGUGGGAAUCUACCCAUCUCUGCGGAAUAGCUCCGGGAAACUGGAAUUAAUACCGCAUACGCCCUACGGGGGAAAGAUUUAUCGGGGAUGGAUGAGCCCGCGUUGGAUUAGCUAGUUGGUGGGGUAAAGGCCUACCAAGGCAACGAUCCAUAGCUGGUCUGAGAGGAUGAUCAGCCACAUUGGGACUGAGACACGGCCCAAACUCCCACGGGAGGCAGCAGUGGGGAAUAUUGGACAAUGGGCGCAAGCCUGAUCCAGCCAUGCCGCGUGAGUGAUGAAGGCCUUAGGGUUGUAAAGCUCUUUCACCGAUGAAGAUAAUGACGGUAGUCGGAGAAGAAGCCCCGGCUAACUUCGUGCCAGCAGCCGCCGUAA